UAUGUAGGGUGCGAGCGUUAAUCGGAAUUACUGGGCGUAAAGUGUGCGCAGGCGGCCGAGCAAGUCGAGUGUGAAAGCCCCGAGCUUAACUUGGGAACUGCGCUCGAAACUACUUGGCUAGAGUGUGGCAGAGGGAGGUGGAAUUCCACGUGUAGCGGUGAAAUGCGUAGAUAUCAGGAGGAACACCUGCGGUGUAGACGGCUUACUGGACCAUCACUGACACUGAGGCGCGACAGCGUGGGGAGCAAACAGG
rnacentral:rRNA from 1 species